rnacentral:rRNA from 1 species
GAUGAACGCUGGCGGCGUGCCUAAUACAUGCAAGUCGAGCGAACAGACGAGGAGCUUGCUCCUCUGACGUUAGCGGCGGACGGGUGAGUAACACGUGGAUAACCUACCUAUAAGACUGGGAUAACUUCGGGAAACCGGAGCUAAUACCGGAUAAUAUAUUGAACCGCAUGGUUCAAUAGUGAAAGACGGGUUUGCUGUCACUUAUAGAUGGAUCCGCGCCGCAUUAGCUAGUUGGUAAGGUAACGGCUUACCAAGGCGACGAUGCGUAGCCGACCUGAGAGGGUGAUCGGCCACACUGGAACUGAGACACGGUCCAGACUCCUACGGGAGGCAGCAGUAGGGAAUCGUCCGCAAUGGGCGAAAGCCUGACGGAGCAACGCCGCGUGAGUGAUGACGGUCUUCGGAUCGUAAAACUCUGUUAUUAGGGAAGAACAAAUGUGUAAGUAACUAUGCACGUCUUGACGGUGCCUAAUCAGAAAGCCACGGCUAACUACGUG